AACGAACGCUGGCGGCGUGCCUAACACAUGCAAGUCGUGCGAGAAAGUUCCUUCGGGAGCGAGUAAAGCGGCGCACGGGUGAGUAACACGUAGGUAACCUGCCCCCCAGUCUGGAACAACUAGAGGAAACUCUAGCUAAUGCCGGAUGAGACCACGAUCCCUUCGGGGGUUGCGGCCAAAGAUGGCCUCUACUUGUAAGCUAUCGCUGAGGGAUGGGCCUGCGGGCCAUUAGCUUGUUGGUGAGGUAACGGCUCACCAAGGCUGUGAUGGCUAGCUGGUCUGAGAGGAUGACCAGCCACACUGGGACUGAGACACGGCCAGACUCCUACGGGAGGCAGCAGUGGGGAAUAUUGCGCAAUGGGCGAAAGCCUGACGCAGCGACGCCGCGUGGGUGAUGAAGGCCU
rnacentral:rRNA from 1 species